rnacentral:rRNA from 2 species
UGGGGAAUAUUGCACAAUGGGGGAAACCCUGAUGCAGCGACGCCGCGUGGAGGAAGAAGGUCUUCGGAUUGUAAACUCCUGUUGUUGGGGAAGAUAAUGACGGUACCCAACAAGGAAGUGACGGCUAACUACGUGCCAGCAGCCGCGGUAAAACGUAGGUCACAAGCGUUGUCCGGAAUUACUGGGUGUAAAGGGAGCGCAGGCGGGAAGACAAGUUGGAAGUGAAAUCUAUGGGCUCAACCCAUAAACUGCUUUCAAAACUGUUUUUCUUGAGUAGUGCAGAGGUAGGCGGAAUUCCCGGUGUAGCGGUGGAAUGCGUAGAUAUCGGGAGGAACACCAGUGGCGAAGGCGGCCUACUGGGCACCAACUGACGCUGAGGCUCGAAAGUGUGGGUAGCAAACAGGAUUAGAUACCCUGGUAGUCCACACCGUAAACGAUGAUUACUAGGUGUUGGAGGAUUGACCCCUUCAGUGCCGCAGUUAACACAAUAAGUAAUCCACCUGGGGAGUACGACCGCAAGGUUGAAACUCAAAGGAAUUGACGGGGGCCCGCACAAGCAGUGGAGUAUGUGGUUUAAUUCGACGCAACGCGAAGAACCUUACCAAGUCUUGACAUCCCUUGACAGACAUAGAAAUAUGUAAUCUCUUCGGAGCAAGGAGACAGGUGGUGCAUGGUUGUCGUCAGCUCGUGUCGUGAGAUGUUGGGUUAAGUCCCGCAACGAGCGCAACCCUUAUGGUCAGUUACUACGCAAGAGGACUCUGGCCAGACUGCCGUUGACAAAACGGAGGAAGGUGGGGAUGACGUCAAAUCAUCAUGCCCUUUAUGACUUGGGCUACACACGUACUACAAUGGCGUUAAACAAAGAGAAGCAAGACCGCGAGGUGGAGCAAAACUCAGAAACAACGUCCCAGUUCGGACUGCAGGCUGCAACUCGCCUGCACGAAGUCGGAAUUGCUAGUAAUCGUGGAUCAGCAUGCCACGGUGAAUACGUUCCC